GACGAACGCUGGCGGCGUGCUUAACACAUGCAAGUCGAACGGAAAGGCCCUGCUUUUGUGGGGUGCUCGAGUGGCGAACGGGUGAGUAACACGUGAGUAACCUGCCCUUGACUUUGGGAUAACUUCAGGAAACUGGGGCUAAUACCGGAUAGGAGCUCCUGCUGCAUGGUGGGGGUUGGAAAGUUUCGGCGGUUGGGGAUGGACUCGCGGCUUAUCAGCUUGUUGGUGGGGUAGUGGCUUACCAAGGCUUUGACGGGUAGCCGGCCUGAGAGGGUGACCGGGCACAAUGGGACUGAGAUACGGCCCAGACUCCUACGGGGGGGAGGAGUGGGGAAUAUUGCACAAAGGGGGGAAGCCCUAUGGAGCCACCCCGGGUGCGGGAUGACGGGCUUCGGGUUUUAAACCGCUUUCGCCUGUGACGAAGCGUGAGUGACGGUAAUGGGUAAAGAAGCACCGGCUAACUACGUG
rnacentral:rRNA from 1 species